GGCACGGUGGCUUAGUGGUUAGCACGUUAGCCUCACAUUUCCGGGAGUAUGGGUUCGAUUCCUGUCUCUGCCU